GCUAGGUAUGGUGGUGUGUGCCUAUAGUCCCAGCUACCUGUGAGGCUGAGGCAGGAGGAUUGCUUGAGACCAGGAGUUUAAGGCUGUAGUGCACCAUGAUCAUGCCUGAGAAUAGCCACUGCAUUCUAGCCUGGGCAACAUAGCAAGACCCUGUCUCUU
ensembl:misc_RNA Metazoa_SRP Metazoan signal recognition particle RNA